UGUUUUAAUAAGAGUUGUUGAUCAUUCUGUUCGACAGUGUUCUGCUGGAAACAAUUUAUACUGCUGACUGUUCCUUUUACCAGGAUGUUUUCCCAUCCACUGACAGUGAAUUCUGGGAAAGAUCUUUUAUAAAUGUACAAGAGAAGGCAUGAGUCCUGUAUAGCUAAGGGAGACUGGCAGACUUAUUUAGAUGACUCAUCAAUUUUAUAAGCAAUAGCUCAGAAUCACAGACCUGGGAACUGAAAAAGACCAUGGAGUUUAUUUCUUUGUAAUUUAAACUGACAUAAUAAUGUAAUGAAAUUAUUUAUACACAUUGACUGGAGGCAUUUCAGAGUAUAGAAGCAUGUUGAUAGAGAGCACCAGCUUAAUUUGCUUCCAGAAAAUAAUCAGCAAGGGCUUAAAUCCGUGAGAAAUUUAACACCUGAUACAAUCAACUCAAAAAUGCAUUUUUAGUUUAUGUCAUCAUGCUUGGAAUUGAUGCUGGAGGAAAAGAAGAAAAAAAACACCAAAGAAAACAAAUGUCUUACAUCGUUGACAUCACGUUAGGAAUUCUGUGGUAAAUAUUAUACUUAACGCUUCAUUAGUGACCCCUGUUAUUACUCUCAUUUUUUGCUAAUUCAUCCUAAAAGAAGUAUAUUAGAAGAGAUGUUCUAAUGAACAGACUAAUUAAUGCAAAUGUACAAAAUCCAACUACCUAUCUACUUCUGUGACAUUUUUAUUUAAACUACAACCGCCUAAUUGUCUUCCAUGAUAGAAGGGGACAAUAGGACAAUUCUAAUUUUACUGUCUGACUUGGAAGGAGUGACCGCAUACAGGCUAAACCAUUUUACUACCAUGAUACCUAUCAUUUUGAGUGAUUGUGAAGAAACCAUAGCAAAAUGGAUAGAGAACUAGCCCAGGAGCCAAGAAUUACAGAAGACUUGCCAGUCUGAUUAGUAGAAGGAAUUUUCACAAUGGAAAACCCAACACCAAAGAAAUACCAGGUUCUGACCAAAAAUAUGUAUUUGUGAUCAGGUUAUGAGAAUGGAGGAUUGAGAAGAGUUUAUCCAUUAAAGUCUUUCUCCGGUAGGCUCUACCAAGCUGAAAAGACCUUGAGUAUGGACCUGAUAAUGAACUAUGUCCUUGUGCUCUGAGAAGUGACCUGAUGAAAUGUGGAGAGAGUGAUUCCUAGAAGACUGGCCAAAGGGCAAUCAUUAUUGCAAUCACUUUUUGUCAUAGCAGAUGGAAGACAAACACCAAUGGAAACACAGAUCCCUGAACUCCUGGAGUGUGUCACAGGAAAAUAAGGAUAAGAAAUG
rnacentral:lncRNA from 1 species